rnacentral:snRNA from 1 species
GUGCUUCGGCAGCACAUAUGCUAAAAUUGAAACAAGACAGAGAAGAUUAGCAUGGGCCCUGAGCAAGGAUGACACGCAAAUUCAUGAAGCGUUCCAUAUAUUU